ACGCUCGACACCUACGGGGCAGCAGUGAGGAAUAUUGGUCAAUGGACGCAAGUCUGAACCAGCCAUGCCGCGUGCAGGAUGACGGCUCUAUGAGUUGUAAACUGCUUUUGUACGAGGGUAAACGCAGAUACGUGUAUCUGUCUGAAAGUAUCGUACGAAUAAGGAUCGGCUAACUCCGUGCCAGCAGCCGCGGUAAUCUGAGCGGGCUGGCAAGGC
rnacentral:rRNA from 1 species